GUAAAGUACAGAGAGAAAGGAAGAGAUUCACCACUAGCCUUCAAUAAAUCAUCUCUCCCAAAAUGGCAAACAACUAUAAAAAUGUUGCAGUAUUGUAUCUUUUGUGCAUUUUAGCUUAUAUGGUAGCUUUUCAGUUAUGUAAAGCGGAUAACGACCUUCAGAAAGGAGACGUUUAUAAACAAUGUUUGAAAGAAUGCGAUGACAAAUGAAAAGCAGAUGGAAAUGGCGAAGUCUUUUGUCACGCAAAAUGUUCUAAACCUUGUGAGUAGCAGCAAAAAGAUGAAAUUCACCGCAAUCAAGGACACGGCAACUUACCUUCAUAGAAGUAUCAGUAAGGCAACAAUGAACCGUAUACAAAGCACUAAUGCCGGCUUAGUUUCAUUGUUUGGCAUCUUCAUGCUGGCCUUGUAUCACUAAUUAAGAAAGGAAAAUAUAUAAAUAGAAUGAAGAAUAUACAUACAGGUAGAUGGAAAAAAAGAAAAUGGAAGUUCAAAAAACAAAGAAUUACAAGAAGAUGGACUGCCGAUCAGAUAACAUCGUAUUGGAGAAGUUCAAGUGAACUCUGCGAGAAGAUGGCCUGUCAAUUUAUUUGUUUGUAUAUAAUGAAAUUAUUUUUAUUUGUUUUUGUCGCAGUUGAUGCAUACGGAUGACAAUAACAGGCUCGAUCUUCUGCCUCUGGUCAUCAGAUUUAUGUGUCGACGUACUGUUGCACUUCGAAGGCUAUCAUAGCUAGAAGUCUAGACUGUUAUCUUGCUACUUAAUUAAUUGUAUCUUCUUUGAGUUUUUUCCAGACAUGUAACUGUAUAAACUAUGAUUUGGUUUGGAGAUCGAAUUACCAUCCGGAUAUUGCACAAAAGAAAGAAGGGUAGAACAUGAUGCAUGGGCAAUUCUUCUUUGCAGUUUGCUCGCAAUCUUCACCUGGUUGAUGAUUUUCCAUGCAUUCCCUGUGCUUCAAUUCAUAGCAUGCGUUAUAUCCUAUAGGUCCCCAAGGAAAUGAAACCUUUGGCAGUUUCCGUCCUUUGGGAUGAUUACUUGAAGCCGCGUCCAAUCCUAUAUGUUCAUCACGAUUAGCCGUUGUUACCAUAUCGGAAGAAAAUGCCAUGAACAUCACUAACAUCAUUACCAUGAUUACGGUCAUUGCUGGGUUAAAACUUAUCAUUCCCAUCUUCAUAUGUCAGCAAGCCUACAGAGAAUGUAUACUGGUGAACAAGAGAAUAUUGGUGGUGUCUGUUGGCUACAAAGAUUUCUCUAUUUAUAGAUAUUUUAAAACAAAUAUAACUAUGUAAUGAUCGAAUGAAUUAAAGAAAGAUAUUAAUUCUACCA